AUUUACUCUGCGAAAAAGACCUUACAAAUGCAUAUUUACCUGGUGCUAUCAAGCCCAUAGAGUAUCACGACAGGAUGGCAAUCAGAGGGAGAAAUCCGCUUUAUUCAUAGCAUAGCUGUCGGCAUCGCCAAGAUGUCAGGGAAGAAGAGGGAGAGGAAACCUUGCCGAAAUUGAUGGAAGGAUGGAAGGAUAUCCAGGAACUGGGCUCCAGAACAUCCCAUGUGGAGUCAACAAUGAGCGAAGAUGCGGAGACACAUAAUGGCCUAGCAGAUCAACCUUGAAAAAAUAUCAGAG